rnacentral:rRNA from 1 species
GAUGAACGCUGGCGGCGUGCCUAAUACAUGCAAGUCGAGCGAACAGAUCUGGUUCUUGCUCCUCUUACGUUAUCGUCGGACGGGUGAGUAACACGUGAAUAACCUACCUAUAAGCCUGGGAUAACUUCUGGAAACCGGAGCUAAUACCUGAUUAUAUAUUGAACCGCAUGGUUCAAUAUUUGAUGACGGUUUUGCUUUCACUUAUAGAUGGUUCCGCGCCGCAUUAGCUAGUUGGUAAGGUAACGGUUUACUAAGGCAACGAUGCGUAGUCGACCUGAGAGGGUGAUCGGCCACACUGGAACUGAGACACGGUCAAGACUCCUACGGGAGGCAGCAGUAGGGAAGCGUAAGAAAUGGGAGAAAGCCUGACGGAGAAGCGGCGAGGGAGUGAGGAAGGUCUUCGGAUCGGAAAACUAUGUUAUUAGGGAAGAACAAAUGUGUAAGUAACUAGGAACGUCUUGACGGUACCUAAUCAGAAAGCCACGGCUAACUACGUG